GAAAGAAGGCAGCUCCAGACACCUGUGUACUCAGAAGGUGUUUUGAGACCCAGCAGCAGGUCAGAAAAGAUCGAAGGCAUAUGGGAAUAUGUACGGUCUUAUACAUUGGUGGGGCAUGUCAGUGGCAUUGUGCCCAAUUAGUGGGCAGCUUGAGGCAUCGCUCAAGUCAAUUUGCAAACGCCCUUUGACUCAGUAAGUCUCGGGCCCAACACAGGAUGGCUGACUCCAGGUCUUGUGCUAUGAACCAUGACUCCCCGGCGAGUGACAAGUGGUCAGGCUUAAGCUGGCAGAGUUGGCGGAUUAUCUGAAGGACUGCGGACUUGGCCGUGGAGGCUUAAGCAGGAUGGAUUGCUGUGGGCGAGUUCUUUGGUGUCUUUAUCUUUCUGUGUGGCUGGCUCAGAUGACAGCAAGGAAGCCCAGGACAAAUCAAUAUGUCCUUGGUCAGCUGCUUUGGUGGCUUCACUGCCGCUCUGCUUCUACAAAUAAUUGGAGUCCAGUCACCAGUGAAUCAGCACGGACAGCCUUUGGCAAGCCAGACCGUGAAGGCUGCUUGGCGUGGCAUGUCUGGGUGAAGGCGGCUCUGUGCUGGGUGGGUCAGGUGACAGAGAGCCUGGGCCAGCUGGGUAGCUACCCUCAAGGGGAUUUGGGCAAGUGACAUUUCUCGUUCCUACCUUA
rnacentral:lncRNA from 1 species